AAGUCCCGUAACGAGCGCAACCCUUGUCCUUAUUUGCCAGCACUUCGGGUGGGAACUCUAAGGAGACUGCCGGUGACAAACCGGAGGAAGGUGGGGACGACGUCAAGUCAUCAUGGCCCUUACGAGUUGGGCUACACACGUGCUACAAUGGCCGGUACAGAGGGCCGCGAACCAGCGAUGGUAAGCUAAUCUCAGAAAACCGGUCGUAGUCCGGAUCGCAGUCUGCAACUCGACUGCGUGAAGUCGGAAUCGCUAGUAAUCGCGAAUCAGAAUGUCGCGGUGAAUACGUUCCCGGGCCUU
rnacentral:rRNA from 1 species